AGUUAACGCUGGCGGCGUGCCUAACACAUGCAAGUCGAGCGGGGUGUCAGCUGUAGCAAUACAGUAUGUGCCCAGCGGCAGACGGGUGAGUAAUACGUAGAUAACCUUCCUCUUAGAGGGGGAUAGCCCGCCGAAAGGCGGGGUAAUACCCCGUACGAUCAAGAAUUGAUAACAGUUUUUGAUGAAACAUCCGCAAGGAUGGCUGAGAGAUGGGUUUACGGCCUAUCAGCUAGUUGGUGAGGUAAUGGCUCACCAAGGCUAAGACGGGUAACCGGCCUGAAAGGGUGGACGGUCACACUGACACUGAGACACGGGUCAGACACCUACGGGAGGCAGCAGUGGGGAAUAUUGGACAAUGGGCGCAAGCCUGAUCCAGCCAUGCCGCGUGAGUGAUGAAGGCCCUAGGGUUGUAAAGCUCUUUUGUGCGGGAAGAUAAUGACGGUACCGCAAGAAUAAGCCCCGGCUAACUUCGUGCCAGCAGCCGCGGUAAAUCGU
rnacentral:rRNA from 1 species